GGGCACAUGGUCCAGGUGCAGUUGGUUAUCACAUCCGCUUAGCAUUCGGGGUAUGAUUAUGCGGGGGGUGCUGGGUUCAAUUCCCAAUGUGUCCA